GCCACUGUCAGGGACAAUAAAAUUGGAACGAUACAGAGAAGAUUAGCAUGACCCUGCUCAGGAAUGACACACCCAAAUCAAGAAAUGGUCCAAAACUCC